ACGGGCCGUAGCUCAGAGGCACAGAGUGCCUGCUUUAGGUGCAGAAGGUCCCAGGUUCAUACCUUGGGGUCUAUG